rnacentral:rRNA from 1 species
CCUACGGGGUGCAGCAGUCGAGAAUCAUUCACAAUGGGGGAAACCCUGAUGGUGCGAAGCCGCGUGGGGGAAUGAAGGUCUUCGGAUUGUAAACCCCUGUCAUGUGGGAGCAAAUUAAAAAGAUAGUACCACACGAGGAAGAGACGGCUAACUCUGUGCCAGCAGCCGCGGUAAUACAGAGGUCUCAAGCGUUGUUCGGAAUCACUGGGCGUAAAGCGUGCGUAGGCUGUUUCGUAAGUCGUGUGUGAAAGGCGCGGGCUCAACCCGCGGACGGCACAUGAUACUGCGAGACUAGAGUAAUGGAGGGGGAACCGGAAUUCUCGGUGUAGCAGUGAAAUGCGUAGAUAUCGAGAGGAACACUCGUGGCGAAGGCGGGUUCCUGGACAUUAACUGACGCUGAGGCACGAAGGCCAGGGGAGCGAAAGGGAUUAGAUACCCGAGUAGUC